rnacentral:misc_RNA from 1 species
CUGAGGUAGGGGAACAGGGGGGUGGGGGAGGGGAGAGAAGGUAAACAAAACAUUAUACUCCAAAAGCAGGGUGUAAAAUAAACUAAUAAACAACAUAUUGAGACAAUUCAAAGAUAAUUGAGGUAAUGGAGAAGGAACUGGCUAAACUGAGUCAUACUGUUUUCUCUCAUUUUGAAUAGAUUGGAAAAUUCGUGCGGCCGAUUCAUUUGCAGAUCUUCGAUUGUGUGGCACAACUCGAAUCACGCGUUUUGUUUGGUCGGAGUCUGAAGGUUGAGGACCUUCCUCUACAACCGGCGGAGCUACAGGGAAAAGUGGAAGCACAUCAUGGCUUUCAGCAGUUCGAUUGGCCUUAUCCCCUUGCACUUUGCCGGCAGGACUAGUUACAGGACUGCUUGCAGUACUUACUUGUACCUCAUUCCUUUUGGGUGCUUGAGACUUAGCAG